AGAGUUUGAUCCUGGCUCAGAACGUACGCUGGCGGCACGCCUAACACAUGCAAGUCGAACGCAGUAGCAAUACUGAGUGGCAAACGGGUGAGUAUAAUGUGGGAAUCUGCCUUUUGGUUUGGAAUAACACGGGGAAACUUGUGCUAAUACCGAAUAAGCCUUUACAGGGAAAGUUUUAACGCCGAAAGAUGAGCCCGCACUUGAUUAGCUAGUUGGUAAGGUAAAAGCUUACCAAGGCAAUGAUCAAUAGCUGUUCUUAGAGGAAGACCAGCCACAUUGGGACUGAGACACGGCCCAGACUCCUACGGGAGGCAGCAGUGGGGAAUCUUGCACAAUGGGGGAAACCCUGAUGCAGCGAUGCCGCGUGAGUGAAGAAGGCCCUUGGGUUGUAAAACUCUUUCGUCGGGGAAGAAAAUGACUGUAUCCGAAUAAGAAGGUCCGGCUAACUUCGUGCCAGCCGCCGCGGU
rnacentral:rRNA from 1 species